GACGAACGCUGGCGGCGUGCCUAAUACAUGCAAGUAGAACGCUGAAGGAGGAGCUUGCUUCUCUGGAUGAGUUGCGAACGGGUGAGUAACGCGUAGGUAACCUGCCUGGUAGCGGGGGAUAACUAUUGGAAACGAUAGCUAAUACCGCAUAAUAGUAGAUGUUGCAUGACAUUUGCUUAAAAGGUGCAAUUGCAUCACUACCAGAUGGACCUGCGUUGUAUUAGCUAGUUGGUGAGGUAACGGCUCACCAAGGCAACGAUACAUAGCCGACCUGAGAGGGGGCUCGUCCACACUGGGACUGAGACACGGCCCAGACGCCUACGGGAGGCAGCAGUAGGGAUUCUUCGGCAAUGGACGGAAGUCUGACCGGGCAACGCCGCGUGAGUGCAGAAGGUUUUCGGAUCGUAAAGCUCUGUUGUAAGGGAAGAACGAGUGUGAGAGUGGAAAGUUCACACUGUGACGGUAUCUUACCAGAAAGGGACGGCUAACUACGUG
rnacentral:rRNA from 1 species